CGGGUGAGUAACACGUGGAUAACCUACCUAUAAGACUGGGAUAACUUCGGGAAACCGGAGCUAAUACCGGAUAAUAUAUUGAACCGCAUGGUUCAAUGGUGAAAGACGGUUUUGCUGUCACUUAUAGAUGGAUCCGCGCCGCAUUAGCUAGUUGGUAAGGUAACGGCUUACCAAGGCAACGAUGCGUAGCCGACCUGAGAGGGUGAUCGGCCACACUGGAACUGAGACACGGUCCAGACUCCUACGGGAGGCAGCAGCA
rnacentral:rRNA from 1 species